GGAAGCUGGGUGCGGGGAAACUCGCAUGCCCAGAUUUAACAGAGAGGUGCGGCGGAUAAGCGCGACUUGAAAGGUCGUUUAGAACGGAGAGCCGACUCUCU
rnacentral:ncRNA from 1 species